rnacentral:rRNA from 1 species
UACGGAGGAUGCAAGCGUUAUCCGGAAUGAUUGGGCGUAAAGCGUCCGCAGGUGGCUGUGUAAGUCUGCUGUUAAAGAGCAAAGCUUAACUUUGUAAAAGCAGUGGAAACUACAUAGCUAGAGUGCGUUCGGGGCAGAGGGAAUUCCUGGUGUAGCGGUGAAAUGCGUAGAGAUCAGGAAGAACACCGGUGGCGAAGGCGCUCUGCUAGGCCGCAACUGACACUGAGGGACGAAAGCUAGGGGAGCGAACAGG